AUUGCACGCUGGCGGCAGGCCUAACACAUGCAAGUCGAGCGACCGGCGGACGGGUGAGUACUGUCUGGGAAACUGCCUGAUGGAGGGGGAUAACUACUGGAAACGGUAGCUAAUACCGCAUACCAUCAGAUGUGCCCAGAUGGGAUUAGCUAGUAGGUUGGGUAAUGGCCCACCUAGCAGACGAUCCCUAGCUGGUCUGAGAGGAUGACCAGCCACACUGGAACUGAGACACGGUCCAGACUCCUACGGGAGGCAGCAGUGGGGAAUAUUGCACAAUGGGCGAAAGCCUGAGGCAGCCAUGCCGCGUGUGUGAAGAAGGCCUUCGGGUUGUAAAGCACUUUCAGCGGGGAGGCGUUACCAGCAGAAGAAGCACCGGCUAACUCCGUGCCAGCCGCCGCGGUAAUUC
rnacentral:rRNA from 1 species